rnacentral:rRNA from 1 species
CAGCCGCCGCGGGAAUACGGAGGAUCCAAGCGUUAUCCGGAAUCAUUGGGUUUAAAGGGUCCGUAGGCGGUCUUGUAAGUCAGUGGUGAAAGCCCAUCGCUCAACGGUGGAACGGCCAUUGAUACUGCAGGACUUGAAUUAUUGGGAAGUAACUAGAAUAUGUAGUGUAGCGGUGAAAUGCUUAGAGAUUACAUGGAAUACCAAUUGCGAAGGCAGGUUACUACCAAUUGAUUGACGCUGAUGGACGAAAGCGUGGGUAGCGAACAGGAUUAGAUACCCCUGUAGUCCCUGUCUCUUAUAC